ACUUUUAAAGGAAAGUAGUUAUCCGGUGACCUUAGGAGUCAAAACUC
rnacentral:tRNA from 1 species